AAAAAUCGCCUUGUCGUCUCAUGCCUACGAUGGGCUAAAGAAGCACUGUGGCGAAACAUGCACUGGGUGGCCAUUGCGUCUGCGGUAGACCCGCCGAUUCCACAGCCCAGAAACAUCC
rnacentral:snoRNA from 1 species